GACGAACGCUGGCGGCGUGCUUAACACAUGCAAGUCGAACGGAAAGGCCCUGCUUGCAGGGUACUCGAGUGGCGAACGGGUGAGUAACACGUGGGUGAUCUGCCCUGCACUUCGGGAUAAGCUUGGGAAACUGGGUCUAAUACCGGAUAGGAACCAUCUUUAGUGUGGUGGUUGGAAAGUUUUUUCGGUGUAGGAUGAGCUCGCGGCCUAUCAGCUUGUUGGUGGGGUAAUGGCCUACCAAGGCGGCGACGGGUAGCCGGCCUGAGAGGGUGUACGGCCACAUUGGGACUGAGAUACGGCCCAGACUCCUACGGGAGGCAGCAGUGGGGAAUAUUGCACAAUGGGCGCAAGCCUGAUGCAGCGACGCCGCGUGGGGGGUGAAGGCCUUCGGGUUGUAAACUCCUUUCGCUAGGGACGAAGCUUUGUUGUGACGGUACCUAGAUAAGAAGCACCGGCUAACUACGUGCCAGCAGCCGCAGUAA
rnacentral:rRNA from 1 species